ensembl:snRNA U1 U1 spliceosomal RNA
AAAACUAAAAAACAGAGGAGACAAUAUGAUCAAGAGGUGGCUUUUUUUUUUUUUUUUGGGUGACGCUCACUUGUACUCUAAGUGUGUUGACUCCAGUGAUUUCCUAAAACGUGGGAACUUGAUUGCAUGAUUUGUGAUAAUGGGGGACCAUAUUCUUGCUCUCCUA